CGCGUGGAGGUGACGCUGAUGGAGCUUCGGUACGAGCACUGAUGAUCACUUGUUGGUUUGCUCAUGGUGGUUCCUCUAGCCCUUUGCAGUCAAGAAAGAGAGAAGAAACAAAGAUAAGAGAGAGGGAGCUGGAUGUGGAAGAAGAGGCCCAAAAUAAAACAAACAUGUAAAUUUAGGUGGUCCAAAGUGAAAAGAUUGUUCUAUCCCCAGUCCAAAUUGACACAAUGGUAAAGAAAGGUGGCCCAAUAUGCAAUUUACUCAAAAAUUAACUAAUAAUUAAUUAAUCAUGCACUAAUGAACUGCUUCGUUUUCUGUGCUAGAGGGAUGGUUCCUAACCCAGGCAAAAGAACAGAGCCCAAUAUAUUGGUUGCAACAACUCAAUUUGGAUAUCUAUCAUCUUCCUCCUAUGUCCUAUGGAUUCAUGGAAUGAUUUUCGACUGUACGUGCAUGAUAAUACAGAUGCAUUACGUUAAUUUGUUGCCCUGAAUUGAUUAAUUUGCCAUGUGUCUCAACACAAGACAACAAAGUGGCAUUGUCGCAUAAGAGAGAACCUGCAUAUUCUGAAGUGUUUAAAAGCUGGGUGGAUUUAUUGUUGGCUCAUCGUGGGGUGGUGCCGUGGUGGCGGCAGAUCCGUCCGUUGUAGAGUCAACGGCGUUGGCAACUCUCGCCGCCCGCAAGCUUCUUCCUUCAGCCACCAGUUGCUUCUUCCCCACCACUUCAUGGGGGCGGGGGCGGCGGAUCCACCCGCCGCAGAGCCCACGGCGACAGAUCCGCCUGCCACGACGCCAGCGGCAUCGGCAGCUCCCAUCGCCCACUAGCUACUCCCUCGUGGCAUUUUUUGGGGCCGACGAUGGCAGAUCCACAUGUUGUGGUGCCGGUGACAUCGGUUGCUCCCACCACCAGCUGCUCCCGCCCCACCACUUCGCGGGGGUCGGCGGCGGCGGCGGAUCCGCCCGCCACAGGGUCGGCAACAUCGGCUGCUCCCACCGCCCGCCAAACAGCUACCAAGCUCUGUCCCGCCGCCCCGAGAAGAUGAGCAGAUACGGAGGGAGAGGGAAAGAGGGGUGGAAGGUAGAGAUGGCAACGGGGAAUUCACCACCUGGGGUUACAUCCGCGUCCACGUCCCCGUCACCGUGGUGUUAAAAAUUUCACCCACCCCGUCACCACGCGGUGAAUUAAUCCCCGUGGUUACUCCCGUAGAGAGAAUCAAAGAAGGGACGGCGUGCUGGCGAGUGGCGAGUUGGCGACGGCGUGUGUGGCGCGAGGACAGCCGGAGGCGGCACAAGCUGCAAGAGACGGCUCAAGCCAUGUCCCCAUCGAUCGAUCUAUCUCGCAGUGAGGCCGAAGCCAUGGUUGGCAGAUGGCUGGAGGCGCGACGACGACUAGGGGCAGCGGGCGAUGCGACGUGGGCUGGAGGCGACGGGCGGCGCGACGAGGGCUGGAGACGGCCGUGCAAGGAGCCGAGGACGGCUGGAGGCGGCACGCUCGUUGAUGGACGAUGGCCGGAGGCGGCGGACGUCGCGAUGAUGGCCGGAGGCGUCGGGACCUCGCCCGCGCGAGGAGACGCGGCGACGCACGCGUGUGAGUCUCGAGCGGCCGCGGCGGCGCUGUGGAGUGAAGAGGAAGAUGGAGAGGGGAAAGGGAGGAUUAUGGUUAGAAUAUACACACACGUGGUUAUUGGACAUCAAUUUUAUAGACCAAAACGACUAUAAAGUCUAAAAUAGGUUCCUAUCUACGCUAAAUGAGGGUCACCGCGGGGGACGGGGACGGUGAGUGAGUGGUGCACCGUCCCCGGCCCCGCCAUCCCCGAUGGUGAUGGGUUUUGGACCAUUAGAUCCCCUAUUGAGGGUAGAUAUCAACCAUCCCCAUCCUCUAAUGUGUGAAUUCACUGUGGGGAAUCGGUGAUCGGGUCCCCAUUGCCAUCUCUAGUGGAAGGAGGAGAGGGGUGAAGACUUAAGAAAAAGAGUCCUUAUGUUGUGGAAGUAAGGUUGUCAGGAUCGGAAUACUAGAAGUAUCGUUUUGCUCAAAGUAUUAUCGUAUCCUAGUAUUGGGAUACUAUGAGAUUUUAUUUUUUUUAAGUUUAAUUAAUAUUUAUAUUAAUCACAUAUAGCC
rnacentral:lncRNA from 1 species